rnacentral:rRNA from 1 species
AGUGGCGGACGGGUGAGUAACGCGUGAGAAUCUGCCUUGGGGUCGGGGACAACCACUGGAAACGGUGGCUAAUACCGGAUAAGCCGAUUGGUGAAAGAUUUAUUGCCCGAAGAGGAGCUCGCGUCUGAUUAGCUAGUUGGUGAGGUAAGAGCUCACCAAGGCAGCGAUCAGUAGCUGGUCUGAGAGGACGAUCAGCCACACUGGGACUGAGACACGGCCCAGACUCCUACGGGAGGCAGCAGUGGGGAAUUUUCCGCAAUGGGCGAAAGCCUGACGGAGCAAGACCGCGUGAGGGAGGAAGGCUCUUGGGUUGUAAACCUCUUUUCUCAGGGAAGAAGCUCUGACGGUACCUGAGGAAUCAGCCUCGGCUAACUCCGUGCCAGCAGCCGCGGUAAUACGGAGGAGGCAAGCGUUAUCCGGAAUUAUUGGGCGUAAAGCGUCCGCAGGUGGCGAUUCAAGUCUGCUGUCAAAGCACGGGGCUUAACUCCGUAAAGGCAGUGGAAACUGAAUAGCUAGAGUGUGUAGGGGUAGAGGGAAUUCCCGGUGUAGCGGUGAAAUGCGUAGAGAUCGGGAAGAACAUCGGUGGCGAAAGCGCUCUACUGGACGGCAACUGACACUCAGGGACGAAAGCUAGGGGAGCGAAUGGGAUUAGAUACCCC